GCGCGCUCUCUCGCACGAUCUGCUCCCGGACUCCUUCAGCGCGCUGCCUGCCUGCCCAGGGCCUUCCCGGAGAGCAGGUGACGGCGGCCUCCGGGCAUGGAGCUCGCGCUGACGAAAGGUUCUGGAAGCCGCCGUAAAAAGUAAUCAAGAAACGGGUGACAGGACUUUUCCCCUUUGAGGAACCGUUUGAGGUGUGGCACGAUACAGCAAGUCAGCUGCCAAAGAGGGGCUUAGCCACAGGAAGUGCGUGCCCAGAACGCAUCUCCCGUGUCCCUCACAGCAGUUCUAUGAGGCUGGCUGCCCUGUUUGACAACUGAGGCCCGCAUCUUCCCCGGAAUCACCGACGUGUGGCUCUGAGCCCUGUCCCAGGGAUUUUCUCCAUCAGAGAAGAGGAGCACUUUGAGCUUUGAGAGGAGCAGCCCUCUGCAAGUGAAGUGGAAAAAAAGGAAGCAGGCGAGGAGGCCCAUCCAGACCCUCCCCCAAGACCCUUGCUGAAAUGGCUGGGAUGCGGCGUGCAGAAGCUCUCCUUUCCUUCACAGCCCCUGGCUUUCCAAGAGUCCCUGCCCACCCAGAUGCCCGCUGGCAGAUGCAGCCUCAUCUCAAGGACACUGCUUGCUGGAUAAAUCCCUCACCACCCUAGAGACAGCCCACGGUCCUGAGACAAGGAUGCGGGCCAGGCUUGUUGCACGUAAGCGCCUCCCGCAGAAACCAGUGAGGCCGGAGUUCCAGAGGAAAUGAUGUAGGGACAGAGGCAGAGGGCCUCCAGGAGGCACCAGCCCCAGAGUCUUCCCUAGAAUCAGACUUUAAGCACAAGCAGGGAGGGAAAGCACUUGAGCAGUGCCCGUCCCUGCAUACCUGGCCUCUGCUGGAACCCAUGCAGGGACAGGACACUUCUUUAUCAGCAAUCCUGUUCCUCUCCUGGGCAGCUUCAACCUGAACAUCCUCCUUCACCUUGAGCUAAAAUGGGUUUCUUGUCACCCUUGCCCAUCAAACCUGGCCUUGCCCUCAGGAACCACACAGGACAAGCCUAAUACUUCCUUCUUGUGGCAACACUUUAGCAAUUGAGACCUGGCUGUCAGGUCCUCCAAAUAAACAUUUGUGACUGUGAUGUUGA
rnacentral:lncRNA from 1 species